rfam:Triticum aestivum genome assembly, contig: Triticum_aestivum_CS42_TGACv1_scaffold_320624_4BL
GCAAGGAAGAGGAAGAAAGAGAGGGCGUAAGAGCAGUGGGAAUGAGAACAUAGAGGAAAGCCUAACUUAAUGGUUCUUCACCUCUUGUCUUGAGGUGGCAAUUCAGUUUGGCAUUUCCCGAUGCCUCUCAUUCCUAUCGUUCUUAGGCGCUCCUUCCUCUUCCUUAUUGUU